AUCAGCAUGACCAGCGUGGUGGAAAACAGCGCUAGAAUAUCUUCCAGAGAUGAACACUGUACACACACGCAGUGAGCUCCAAAGCCUCAGAUGUUCUCCCAAGGACUCAAAUUCAAUCAGGAAUGAGCUUCUUCCCAGCCAUUCCCAGGCGUUCUAUAGUUGCCAUGGUGCCAAGUGGCAGCUUAGGCAGAGCUCAAUGACCCGAGAGAAAGCUAUGUAUGUAGAGUUGGCAGUGGGCCAGGGGUUUCAUUGCUCAGGGGGAUAAUUCUGAAGUAAGGACUGAGUGAGCUGUACUCUUUGGGGAGAAAACUUCACCACAGAGUCUCAAUACAGAGAAGACGGCAGAGAGGCUUGGAUGACAUGAAGCUGCCUGCCUGCGCUUGGACAUGCUGACCUGACCACCACCACCUCCGACCACCACCUCUGCUGACCAUCUAGCUAUGAGCUUCCAGAUCCUCUCAUGACCGCGGCUGCACAUCUGGAAGCUUCAAGAAGUACUCAGACAGACUUGAUCUAGCUGAUCUAGCUACUGUUGUAGCCUGUAUUUUCCUCAACAUUUAAACAUUUAGAUUUUAUGGUAACGUCUUAAUAAUCUAAAUGUGUUUCUUGUAUGUGUUACUGCAACUCUGCUUUAAGCUGCCAUAGUACACAUGAAAGGAAAUUCAAAUAUACCAUCAUCAUCAUCAUCAUUCCUUGCUUGGAAAACACAUGUUGUUUUAAUAACAACAAUAAACUCGUAUUUCUGAUCAUUAUGUAGUUAUCCAGAUCAGUUCACAAAUGUACUGUGGCCAAGAUUCAAGUAAAGGUGUGUUGUGGAUGCACUGUCUACAGUUGGUCCCAGGCCUCCCACAGUGAAAAAACUGAAAUUCACUACUGUCAUACUUCACUAUUCACUACUGCAGUUCAGCUUUAAGCUGCCAUAGUACACAUGAAAGGAAAUUAAAAUCUACCAUUAUCAUCAAAUUGCAAGCCGAAAUCUACCGCUCAGAUUAUUAAAAAAAAAAAAAAAACAUUACUUUAAAAAACUUAAGCCUGUGUGAAAUUAACUAUUCAACACAGUACUGUAGUAAUGAGGAUUGUGCAGUAGGCUAUAGGCCCAAUACAUUAUCACCACAUAUUGGCUUUGCUUGAAUUGACCUGCCAUUGCAUUGUUGUUCUUCUCACACCAUUUCCAAAUGAUAUUUAAAAACCUGAGCUAGGACCUACACAUUAUGAUCACACUAGUCAUAGAUUCUUGUAUUACAUGUGAGGCACAACUGAGUGAGCAAACAUUUAAAUGAUGUUUGUAUUGGUUCACUGGGCUGAUGGUGCCUGUAUCUGAUGGUCAGCCUCAGUGGAGGGAGGGAGAGAGCAGCA